GACGAACGCUGGCGGCGUGCUUAACACAUGCAAGUCGAACGGAAAGGCCCUGCUUUUGUGGGGUGCUCGAGUGGCGAACGGGUGAGUAACACGUGAGUAACCUGCCCUUGACUUUGGGAUAACUUCAGGAAACUGGGGCUAAUACCGGAUAGGAGCUCCUGCUGCAUGGUGGGGGUUGGAAAGUUUGGGCGGUUGGGGAUGGACUCGCGGCUUAUCAGCUUGUUGGUGGGGUAGUGGCUUACCAAGGCUUUGACGGGUAGCCGGCCUGAGAGGGUGACCGGCGACAUUGGGACUGAGAUACGGCCCAGACUCCUACGGGAGGCAGCAGUGGGGAAUAUUGCACAAUGGGCGGAAGCCUGAUGCAGCAACGCCGCGUGCGGGAUGACGGCCUUCGGGUUGUGAACCGCUUUCGCCUGUGACGAAGCGUGAGUGACGGUAAUGGGUAAAGAAGCACCGGCUAACUACGUG
rnacentral:rRNA from 1 species